CAGGAACUAUGGCACCGUCCCACGCGGACACAGGAACUAUGGCACCGUCCCACGCGGACACAGGAACUAUUGCACCGUCCCACACGGACACAGGAACUGAAAGGCUGGAGCUGGGGUCACCUGAGCAUCCUGAGCAUCGAUGGUGAGAAGCUACAGGAGGCCGAGCGGCUGUUGACGCCCAGGACCGUGGGCAGCACCUUGCAGGGGGAAACCGGCUUCCUCCGGUCUCCCAGAAGAAGAGUUCAGGCCUUCUCUCCUCUCUCCAGGCCUCCAGCUCUUCCCCAUCCCCGCUCUCAGCGGAGGACUGGCUUCUGUUUUCACUGAAGAAAUCACAGCCUCCUGAGAGGACUUCCCCAGACGCAGCCCUCCCCUGUACCCGCUCCUCCUCCACAUCCCCACCUUCCAUGCCCAGGGCAGCAAACCACCCCCCAUCUGCUUGGGGAUGUCAACAGGCUCCCUGUUUCCUGAAUCUUCAGUUUCUCCUUCCUGCUUGAUUCCCAUCCACAAACUUACCAUUAUGUUUCUUGUCUUUAAAAGAAAAAUAAAAUUUUUGCUUUUU
rnacentral:lncRNA from 10 species